rnacentral:rRNA from 1 species
GACGAACGCUGGCGGCGUGCUUAACACAUGCAAGUCGAACGGAAAGGCCCUGCUUUUGUGGGGUGCUCGAGUGGCGAACGGGUGAGUAACACGUGAGUAACCUGCCCUUGACUUUGGGAUAACUUCAGGAAACUGGGGCUAAUACAGGCUAGGAGCUCCUGCUGCAUGGUGGGGGUUGGAAAGUUUCGGCGGUUGGGGAUGGACUCGCGGCUUAUCAGCUUGUUGGUGGGGUAGUGGCUUACCAAGGCUUUGACGGGUAGCCGGCCUUGGAGGGUGACCGGCCACAUUGGGACUGCGAUACGGCCCAGACUCCUACGGGAGGCAGCGGUGGGGAAUAUUGCACAAUGGGCGGAAGCCUGAUGCAGCAAUGCCGCGUGCGGGAAGACGGCCUUCGUGUUGUAAACCGCUGUCGCUUGUGACGAAGCGUGAGUGACGGUAAUGGGUAAAGAAGCACCGGCUAACUACGUG